AACGUGCAUUCAGCGAAUGGUUUUAAGUUCAUAUCUGAGAUGAUGCUGUAGAAUUCAUUAAUCAUAUGGGAUCAGUAAUGAUGGCAGGUAAUUCUGGCUGAUGUCACUUAGAGGAUAUUUUUCACUUCAAGUUACAACUUCCUUCGUGAUAGUCAUUUUGGGAUUCAUUUAAAUAUGUGCUUUAUUUCACAGCUCAGAUUUUCAUUAGACAUUUCAUAACAUAGGAUUUUGAAAGCAGAUUUGGCAAAAUCUUUCUAGCAAAAUGUCUGACGUCAGAAGGAACAGCACUCAGAAUUACUGGUAACUGUGGUCCAUUUUAAGGCUGAUGAUAGAAGUCACUUGAACGGUUAGGGCUGCUUUGUGAGGCGGAUGGGGUUUUUGAACCCUGACCCUCCUGACACGCCAGCCCUGGCCCUGGCCUUCUCUCCUCUCCUCUCCUCUCCACUGGGAGAUGAGAAGGUGCCAGCAUCCACCUCACAGGCCAUCGUGAGAACCCGGGACUCAGGGUUUGUGUUCCUCUUGCAGGUGGCGCCGCAGAUGUGGGGGCCUGACGAUAUAUACACACUGCAGGCUGCCAGUGUCGGGGUAAUCCAGUUUUCGUCAAAAGGACCGUCUAUCCCAGGAAUGCCAAACCCCACUGGCUUUCACCCGACGCUGUCGUAGGUGACGCCGUAUGGAAAUGAGGACCCAUGUGCCGCAUACCUGAGCCCCCAGUACCCGUCUCCCUCGAGGGCCGUGGCCGAGCCCUCCUGAUUUCGCUGGGUUGCCAGCCUGGGGAUCUGUAAGCCCAGCGACGCCUGCGGUCUCGGCCCCCCUCCCCGUGGGGACAGGAGGUGGCUUCCGGAGGCUGGUGAUGAAUGCCUGAAUGAAGCCGACUUGUGACUGCAGUUCUGUCUAAGGGCCUCCCCGGGUGUUAGAUGUCAGUAAAUGACACCUGUGUGUGUGGAUCUCAUGUGAUGAGAGAAAGAGUGGGGGAAACCAAAGCUUGUGGAGUCUGCAGGUUCUGGACUUGGGGAUGUGUGCACCUGUGUACUUGGUGAGGGGUGUGAGGUCUGGAAUGAGUGUGCACGUGUGUCACGUUUGUGCGUGUGUGGUGAGUGUAUUUAGCAGGUGUGUGUGGAGUGAGCAUGUUCAUGCGUGUGUCGUGUAUAUUGGAGGGUGUGUGGAGUGUGUACACGCAUCACAUUUGGUGAGUGUAUUUGAGGGUGUGUAUGGAGUGCAUAGAUGCGUUUGCGUGUAUAGUAUCGGGUGAAGGGGUGGCAUGUGUGGAGUAAGCAUGCACACGUGUGUGCUGUGUGUGGGGUUUCUGCCUGGUCCUCCCCUGAGCCUGCUCCUGGGCCCUGCUGUCCUGGCAGCUUUACAGUUUGGUGUGUCUUUGAUUCCGGAAGAUUCUGGAACCCGACUCUGAAGCUGUGAUCGCAAACUUGCAGCCCUUGGAGGACGCUGGCCCGUGGAGCCGGCACGAGGAUCUCUGGGCUGGGCUGGGCUGGGCUCCUCUGUCCACAGCAGAGCGUGUCCGAUGAUUGAGCUGUGCGGGUCUGUGGCUCCCCAGCCUCGAGUCAGCCCUCGGUUCUGGUCCCGCCUCUGUUUUUCUUGCUGAGGGGCUCCGGGAAGUGGUGCCUGGGAUGACGUUUUCACCCUGGGGUUGCUUCGCCUGCUGCCCAGGUGCUGGCUGCCUGAGCCCUGCUGCCGUCCUGGGUGGACGGGGCUGGCGCGGGGACAUCCCUGAGCACCUGCGGGAAGGCAGGUUUAGGAAGUGCCAGAGGUGAGUGGCUUCCUCCCAGACUUGAUUUUCUGGAAAGUUCUGGGCCUCAUAUUUUUCCCUAAGGGAAGUUAGGAACUGAGUUUCUCUUCAGGGGAACGUCUUUGCAGCGUCUGUUGUUAGAAUGUUCUCCAGGUGUGGAAUACCCGGGGCCGUGUGUGUUUGGGAACAUCCGUGUCCUGAGCCAAUUCAGUGGGGAAUGGAGAGAGGCCUCCCUCCUGUCAGCUUGGCCUCUGUUUCCGGCUUGCGAGUUGUGAGGGUUGGCGGCUGCUGGUAUCCCAGGGAGAGGGAAACACUGGGUGGCGUGGGAUGGGAACGUUCGCUCUGACCAGGUCAGUGGGAAAGCGUCUAAGCAAACGUCGCUGUUGUCCGGGCUCCUCGGGGUCGAGCUUGUUUUGUGGUGUUGAGGGAAAAGCUACCCUUGUUCCUGUUCCUCACCAUUUGAAUGGUGUCCAGGGCUUGUUCCGCCGGAGAGGUGAUGCGCGUGAAUGGGGGUCAGGUCGCAGGCUCCGAGGUUAUUUGGAAUCUGUCAACGGACUUCCUAAACACACCGGUGCUUGGUAAAGAGAUGUUCCUGAUUGGCUAAAACAUCUCAACAGGACGUGAUAGCUGGUGGUGGUUUAAAGACUACCACAAUUUUCCUGUUACUUUUUAAAUGCCUGUUGAAUAGGGGAGGAUUCACAUAGUUUUCUUUUCCCGUCUGCGUACUUGAUACUUUGUUUGUUUGUGUUUUUAUGUGGGUGUGCAGUUAACAGGAUUUCGAAGCAGUCUCAGCCCUGGGGAGACUUCAGGGCAGCCUCAGUCAGCGCUGAAGGGAGGCAGGGAUUUGGGGGCUACCUCCUCCACAGGACGCGGACACCAAGGGCCAGAGGUCAGCAAUCUCAGUGAGGUGACACAGACGGGCACACCCAGCACCCUGGCCCCUGUGCCUCUCCUUCACGUUUGUCUCUGCUCCAAGCUGCUCUCCUGGGUCAUCACGGGUGAUCUCUAGGCGCGUGCUUGGUUCUUGCAGAAGUGGUGUCUGGCUGUGGUCAGUGGGGGCUCUCGGGACUUCCAUGUUUUU